GCUGCGCAGACAGACGACUCCACUUCCCAGAAGGCAUCGGGGUCCCGGAGCCUCUCUGACCUCCAGAUCCAGACGAGCUUGUAGCACAGCUUUCUGGGAAGUGUAGUUCCGGUAUCAUGCUGGGCCGGUGUGUUGUGUGUCUAACUGCAGGGGUAGCCAGAUGGUGGUACCCAGGAACGUGGAAUUAUCCUGUCAGUUCCAGGUGGAUUUGGCCAUGAAGGUUUUCAAAGGAUAGUGGGUGAUCAUCUCUGAUGCUUGGUCUCAGGCCAUAGUGUUUGGAGAACACUGUGGCCUGAUUGUGUUCUUGGACAUGACUUAGAAGGGCUUGCUUAUAAACAGGAGCCGCCAGUUGUCAAUGAAAUUGUGACCUUGGGGAAGACCAUGGGACUGGAGGUGAACGAGGACGACAUUCAAAAGCUGGUGAAGGAACAUGGCCAAGAGCUGACCACCAAUGAACUGAUGGAUCUGCAUCAUGGGCAACAGCAAGAGGUUAUGGAGGAGAUCUCAUCUGCAGAGGAGGAGGAGAACAAGGCAGAGGACUCCCUCACUUCAAAUGAGAUUAGGGAGAUGUGUAAAAUGUGGGAAACAGUGCAAAAUUUUGUAGAAAAGCACCACCCGAAUAAGG